UCCACUCCUGCUUUCAUUCCCACUAUCACCGUCAUCUGCUCCUUCUCCUGGGACUGCUAGAAAAUCAAAAGAUUUCAUCAGCCAAUGACUUGCAAGACAACCCUCCCUCCUUCUUAAAAUUUUGCACAUAGAUCACACGCAAUAGUAAUAAUAAUGGCAAUGAAAAAGCUGGAAAAUCUCUUAUUUGUGAAUCAGCUUUGAAUCCCAUAAAGAAAGAUGAAUUAUCCAUACUGAGCCCAAGCUGUGAAACAGGAGGAGACAAAUAGAGACCCCUACUGUGUUUAACAAUGGAGAAGAAAUUCCAGGCUCAAUAGAAAAUUUUUCUGUCCUUUUUCACAGACCACAAAAGCUGUUAAUAUGGAUUUGAACAGUG